GUGGGGAAUAUUGGACAAUGGGCGAAAGCCUGAUCCAGCCAUGCCGCGUGUGUGAAGAAGGUCUUCGGAUUGUAAAGCACUUUAAGUUGGGAGGAAGGGCAGUAAGUUAAUACCUUGCUGUUUUGACGUUACCGACAGAAUAAGCACCGGCUAACUUCGUGCCAGCAGCCGCGGUAAUACGAAGGGUGCAAGCGUUAAUCGGAAUUACUGGGCGUAAAGCGCGCGUAGGUGGUUUUGUAAGUUAGAGGUGAAAUCCCCGGGCUCAACCUGGGAACUGCCUCCAAAACUGCAUGACUAGAGUACGGUAGAGGGUAGUGGAAUUUCCUGUGUAGCGGUGAAAUGCGUAGAUAUAGGAAGGAACACCAGUGGCGAAGGCGACUACCUGGACUGAUACUGACACUGAGGUGCGAAAGCGUGGGGAGCAAACAGGAUUAGAAACCCGGGUAGUCC
rnacentral:rRNA from 1 species